rnacentral:rRNA from 1 species
CUACGGGCCGCAGCAGUGAGGAAUCUUGCGCAAUGGGGGAAACCCUGACGCAGCGACGCCGCGUGGGUGAUGAAGGCCUUCGGGUCGUAAAGCCCUGUCGAGAGGGAAGAAUUGCAUUUAGGUUAAUAGCCUAAUUGUUUGACGGUACCUCCAAAGGAAGCACCGGCUAACUCCGUGCCAGCAGCCGCGGUAAUACGGAGGGUGCAAGCGUUGUUCGGAAUCACUGGGCGUAAAGGGCGUGUAGGCGGCUGAGUAAGUCAGGUGUGAAAUCCCUCGGCUCAACCGAGGAAGUGCAUUUGAUACUGCUCAUCUUGAGUACUGGAGAGGGAGAUGGAAUUCCCGGUGUAGAGGUGAAAUUCGUAGAUAUCGGGAGGAACACCAGUGGCGAAGGCGAUCUCCUGGACAGAUACUGACGCUAAGGCGCGAAAGCGUGGGGAGCAAACAGGAUUAGAUACCCCAGUAGUC